AGUGGGGAAAAAGCCUUGUACAUUUGGCAGUAGAGUUUAUUUUGUUGUUAGUCAGCACUUCUUAAAUUUUAUUUUAUUUUUUGGAAACUGGUGGAAAGGGCAUAGUGUAUAUUGUCCUUGCUCAUCAGAUCCCACCCUAAAAACAUCUGUUUCUCCAGGAUCAGUGUUCUGUGCAAUUUCAGUUAUUCUGGCCUAUGGCAGCCACCUGCAGCAGCUGUUUUUUUAAUGUAAACUUACCAUCCUCAGAGCUGAAGUGAGCCUCAUUUGAGAAAUUGCCAGCAUUGUAGCCUGUUGCUGCAUUUUUGGAAAAUACAAGUUUGUUGGGGAUUUCAGAGACAAAUGACAAAAUAGUAAAGCACAUUUUCCAAUACAGCUGGCACUGGCAGGGGAAAAACAAACAACAAAUCAAAGGUUCAGAAGAACGCGGGUGUGAAAUAGCUGACGCUGAGCCAUAGCAUGCUAAAUCAAAGCAGAAUAUUAUCCAAAAUUAAUUACCCCACUUCCCUUCUAAUGUAACCAGGUGUAUUUAGGGCACUUAAUUAUUUGAUGUAGUCUAGAAGGAAUUUGAUCAGUUUCUAAAACAAAAUGCUGUCUCUUAGGUAUUUGUAUGGCCUCCAUUAUUGUAGAAUCUGAAUGCCUCAUAGUGUUUCAUAUAUUUAUCCUCACAACACACUGAUGUGGGGAGGGAAGUGCUAUUUUCCCCUUUCUCAGAUGGGGAACCAAGGCACAGAGUCAAGGGACUUGCCUAGGCUGUGGCAGAGCAGGGAACUUAACCUGAGUUUCACGCAUCCCCGGCUAGCAACAUCCUUCGUCUUGUCAGUGUAAAUGCCAUCUAAUUGGGCAGCCUUUAUUAAUAGUUUUUUGUGUACUCCCCUUUAAAGGAAUAAAUAUUUAUUCCAUAGGUUAUUUUUCAUAUACUGCCUAUGCUCUGCCUCUCCUAUUAGAAACGAUGAUGGGGGGGCAGGGGGUUGGUUUAAAAAGAAGUAACCUUCUAAAAACAAAUGGAAGCAUCCAGUUGUGGACAUGCCUCUAAGCUUUGAUCCUUCAACUGCCUUUGCACAGCCAGGCUCCUGCACCUGUGUGGAGCCUUGCUGAAGUCAGUGGGAUUUAAGUACAUGCAUAAAGUUAAGCACAUGCUUUGCAGAAUCUGGGUCUUAAUGGGGAACUGCACAAUUUUACUACGGUGACAUUCCUCCCACAUGCAUUACUUGGUGUCUGUUCAUGAUUCUUGUUUAGGCCCCAGUCCUACAAAGACUUAAACUACUCGCAGUGCUUCAAGUUAUCAGGUCAGAGUUAGACUAUAUACUCUUUGGAGCAGGGCUUGUCUCUUUACUUCAUUUCACAUCCUUGGGCACUCAGACAAGUGAGUGUAUUAGGACUCGAUAUAUCCACUAAUAUAUAUGUGGGGGGUCGUGUUCAGAGUAGAACUGUGCACAAGGUUCGUUUAGAGAUUCAAAACCCCAAAUCAGGGCUCUGCAGCUUCUGGGCUCUAAGCAGACCGACAAACACCAGCCUAGGCCUACAACAUUUCCAGCUUGUUUCCUUCCCUUCUGUCAUAGGCCAUGUCUGCACCCUUUUGCUCACCUUUGUCUUUGGGGGCACCAGUUGUUGAAACCCUACCCUGUCAGACUUGGUGCCCCUGCCUCAGGUUUCUCCCUGGCUGCUCCCCCCCUUGUUGCUCCUUUGGGGGCUGACCGAGAGGGUCAUUGUCUUGUGCCCAAAAUCCACCAGGUCUCUAGAACACAAGGAAGCAGCUUGAUUUGCUUGCUCAAAAGCAGAAACACAACGCCCUGCUUUCCCAGCCCUGCCACACUAACUAGGGAGACCCAAAUCUUCAUGCCCCAGGUGUGUUCAAGACAGCUGCUUUUGACAACUCCCCAAUGCCACCUGCAGAGAGUCUAUGCCCUCAUCUGACGCGUGUGCGUGCAGAGAACUACGCCCAAGACUUUCUAAAGUGAUUUUGGUUGCUUCCAUUUUUGGGUGCCCAACUUGAGACUCCUUAAAGGAGCCUGAUUUUCCACAGGGUGAGUGCUUAGUACUUUCUGAACUUCAGCCCCCUUUUAAGGUGUCUCAGGUUGGUCACUGAAAACUUGAGGCACCUAAAAUCACUGGUCAAUUUUGGAAAAAACUUGUCUACAUUUUACUGGUAUGUCUUGUUCCCCUUGAAAAUUAAUGGCUGCACUCCUGUUGCCUUCAGAUAGCGCAGAAGCAAGCGGUGUCCUAAUUGGGAAGAACAGUACUUUCCAUAACCAGGCCGCGAGGGUGUGCUUUGAUAUUGUGUGUAGUGAAACUUGAAAUGUGAAUCCAGUUUGGAUGUUUAAAGAAAUCUGAUCAGAGCCACAAAGCUGAACUAGAUGCUGCUGGGAAGGCCAGAGGGAGGGGUUCUACUCAGGGGUGUCUCACAUAGAGGAGCUUGGUCAGUACAAGUCAAAGCAAGGAUGCUCAUGCUGUGUGAUUAUAAUGCUUGGUGAAUUUACUGCAAAGACAAGGCUCAGAGCAAAUACAGGAAAGAGCUUCAUUCUAUAAUAAAGUGUAAAAAAAAAAAAAAAAAAAAA